rnacentral:tRNA from 1 species
GGCGUAGCUCAGUUGGUAGAGCGCUAGAUUGUGGCUCUAGUGGCCGUGGGUUCAAUUCCCAUCG